UUGGUGUAUGCAAUAUUCUCAGCUGUGUCACGGUCAGUUUCUCUCCAGUUUCUCUUAUUCUCACAGCAAAUGCAUUUUUCUGUGCGUAAUUGCACAAAAAGCUAGAAUGGCUACGUUUGGGGCAUAUCUAACAACCUCAGGAAAUGUAUGCAACCUUUUGUCUGCAUAAUGGAUAAAAGCUGCCUCGUCUUGUUUGAGACAGCACGAGAACGUGAGUCAGAGAAGCAGCUGAGCACACACUGUCAGCUUCUUCGCUCUACCUGUCUCCAGCCUCAUCCACACGCCUACUGCCCAGAUCACCUAUAACAAGGUUCUACAAACUGACUCCAGGCUGCCAUGUUCACUUUGCUGAUAUAAACACCCAAAUGAGAGAGAAAUGAUAUGCAGUAUAUCAGAAGGGUCUGUUCCAGGAUGUGGUGAGCCUGGUGGUGGUCUGGGUCUCUCCUUGACUUCAGCAUUGGCUCCUGUUCUGGGUUACACCACACAAACGUCAGAGAGGAGUCCGCCAUCCUGGAAGUGUAGAUGGCAUCAAAGAUGGCAUAUCGGUUGUCAAGGAAAAUCUUAUGUGAUGUUCUGGGAGCUUACCUUUCCUCAUGAAUUUGCUCUUCCUGUGGUCCAU